AUUGAACGCUGGCGGCAGGCCUAACACAUGCACGUCGAACGAGUGGCGGACGGGUGAGUAAUGGCUGGGCAACUGCCUGAUGGAGGGGGAUAACUACUGGAAACGGUAGCUAAUACCGCAUACCAUCGGAUGUGCCCAGAUGGGAUUAGCUAGUAGGUGGGGUAACGGCUCACCUAGGCGACGAUCCCUAGCUGGUCUGAGAGGAUGACGAGCCACACUGGAAUUGAAACACGGUCCAGACUCCGACGGGAGGCAGCAGGGGGGAAUAUUGCACGAUGGGCGCAAGCCUGAUGCAGCCAUGCCGCGUGUAUGAAGAAGGCCUUCGGGUUGUAAGGUACUUUCAGCGGGGAGGCGUUACCCGCAGAAGAAGCACCGGCUAACUCCGGGCCAGCAGCCGCGGUAAUUC
rnacentral:rRNA from 1 species